GUGGGGAAUAUUGGACAAUGGGCGCAAGCCUGAUCCAGCCAUGCCGCGUGAGUGAUGAAGACCCUAGGGUUGUAAAGCUCUUUCACCGGUGAAGAUAAUGACGGUAACCGGAGAAGAAGCCCCGGCUAACUUCGUGCCAGCAGCCGCGGUAAUACGAAGGGGGCUAGCGUUGUUCGGAAUUACUGGGCGUAAAGCGCACGUAGGCGGACAUUUAAGUCAGGGGUGAAAUCCCAGAGCUCAACUCUGGAACUGCCUUUGAUACUGGCUGUCUUGAGUUUGGGAGAGGUGAGUGGAACUCCGAGUGUAGAGGUGAAAUUCGUAGAUAUUCGGAAGAACACCAGUGGCGAAGGCGACUCACUGGCCCAAUACUGACGCUGAGGCGCGAAAGCGUGGGGAGCAAACAGGAUUAGAAACCCGUGUAGUCC
rnacentral:rRNA from 1 species